rnacentral:lncRNA from 1 species
CUGGACCGAUAUGGCUCAAUGAAGUGAAGUGCAAAGGGAAUGAGUCUUCCUUGUGGGAUUGUCCUGCCAGACGCUGGGGCCAUAGUGAGUGUGGGCACAAGGAAGACGCUGCAGUGAAUUGCACAGAUAUUUCAGUGCAGAAAACCCCACAAAAAGCCACAACAGGUCGCUCAUCCCGUCAGUCAUCCUUUAUUGCAGUCGGGAUCCUUGGGGUUGUUCUGUUGGCCAUUUUCGUCGCAUUAUUCUUCUUGACUAAAAAGCGAAGACAGAGACAGCGGCUUGCAGAAAAUUCCCAUGAGUCAGCUGAUUUCAGUGCUGCUGAACUAAUUUCUGUGUCUAAAUUUCUUCCUAUUUCUGGAAUGGAAAAGGAGGCCAUUCUGAGCCACACUGAAAAGGAAAAUGGGAAUUUAUAACCCAGUGAGUUCAGCCUUUAAGAUACCUUGAUGAAGACCUGGACUAUUGAAUGGAGCAGAAAUUCACCUCUCUCACUGACUAUUACAGUUGCAUUUUUAUGGAGUUCUUCUUCUCCUAGGAUUCCUAAGACUGCUGCUGAAUUUAUAAAAAUUAAGUUUGUGAAUGUGACUACUUAGUGGUGUAUAUGAGACUUUCAAGGGAAUUAAAUAAAUAAAUAAGAAUGUUA